rnacentral:lncRNA from 1 species
GCUGUCCCAUUUGAAGUUAAAAAUACUUUUUGAAAAUAGAUAAGUUCUAAUUGCUUUUAAAGUGCUCUCGCUGUUUUUAAAAUCAAUGCCUAGUUUUUACUAUCCAGUUCGGCCCUCACGCUCUCGGGAUUGUCGGUUCUCACCUUAGUUAAUUUCCCACUCUCGUGGCAAAAUCGUAUUAAAUAGUUUCUCACUCUUGUGACAAAGUUAAUUAAAUUUAAAUUAAAAAUCACAGCCAAGAAGAUUGUUUGAGACAAGAAGUUUUUCACCGAUUAUUAUUAAAUCCCGUCUAAUUAAAUUGUUACAUACCGAUACUGGUAGUUUAGCCAGACAUGUUAAAUAACACAAACACAGGCGAGCAUAAACAGAUUAACAAUACAUCAAACAUAAUUAUAAUAAUAACAAAGCAAUAACAAUAAUAAUUGAAUAAAAACCUGACAAUUGGAUUAAUAGAAUACGCCGAAUCUUGAAAUACUUGAGCAGUCCUCCACAGGACGAUAGGAUUCUGCUUCUUCGAAAUAAUUGCUUAAACUAAAUUAAAUAAAUUGUAGUAGUUCCCCAGUGUAGGAAACUACUACUUUGGCUAAAUGGAAAACGGAAAGGGAAAGGAAAAAUGGAAACCCUAACGGAAUGGUAACUAGAUUGCGGUAGAGGAAACAAUGUUGCUGAAGAAAUAUAAUACUAGAAAGCAGAAUUGCUGUAGAAAAUAAAUUGCAUAGAAAAAUUCAGCGUCCCUUUCGUCUCCAACAUCUGUCUUUUUAUAUCCCCUGGUAGGUCAUGGAAGUUGAGAGAAAUAAGGAUGACUUGGUUGAGUGAGGAAUCCACGGGAAAGUGGCUCUGGAACGAGAAUUUAGGCACGUUGGCUCACUUCUUUGACUGUUUCAAGGCGUUGAUUUUGGCCGCGUGACGUUCGUCAUGUUGGUGUAAGCCCUAGAGGCCAAUACUUUUUGGUACUUGUAUCGAAUUAUUUAUUAAUAAUAAAAGGCAUUUUCUUUAUUAUGGUUGAUUAAUAAAGUCCCUGGAAUAGAUAGUCCGUUUAAUGUAUUAAGUGUGACUUAAUCACGAGAACACAUUAAACAUAAGGACACUAUUCUUAAAGUAUCCGUAGUCGAGCUUUAGUGUGAAGUGGGAUAACAUUAAAGCAUUAAGACUAUUAUGUUUGUAGACUGAUGAUCACAUCUCAUGGAUCAUGGAUAAAGAGUUAUCAAGUCUUAAACAUAGGUAUGAAUAUUAGGAGUAAUAUUUAUACCGGAUUGACCCGCUAUGAGAAUACUAUAUAGAAAGUUAUGCAAAGUGUCAUAAGUUAUUCUCAUGGUGAUAAUAGUGUAUACCACUCUUAGACCUGAAACCACUAUGGAUCCUAGAUGUAGAGUCGAGUGCUUUAUUGUUGAUCCAACGUUGUCGGUAACUGGAUAACCAUAAAGACAGUUGAUGGGUACUCCACGAAGCAUGCUGAGGGACAUGAGUGUCCUAGAUGGAAUUUGCCCAUCCUGCGUAAUAGGAUAAAUGUCUAUGGGCCCAAUAUUGAACUGGACAAGGAUGACACAGUUUAUACCUUGUGUUCAAUAUAUACAUAAAGGCAAAAGGGUAAUUAUACACAUAAGUAUUAUCACAGAAGGUUUUGUCAGAUCACACGACAUUUUCGUGUCUUGGGUAACAGUGAUGUGUUGCUAGAUACCGCUCACUGUUUAUUAUGUUAAAUGCGUGAUUUAAUAUAAUUGCCAACGUCACGAAAACCUACAGGGUCACACACAAAGGACGGAUUAAUGAGAGAUAGAGUAACUAAGGAAUACCGUAAGGUACGGACAACGUCACGAAAACCUACAGGGUCACACACAAAGGACGGAUUAAUGAGAGAUAGAGUAACUAAGGAAUACCGUAAGGUACGGUGCCCUUAAGUGAAUUAUACAACAUCGUAAGGUACGGUGUACUUGAGUAGAAUACGAAAUAUGGUAAGGUACCAUGGGCUUAAGUGAUUUUGGGCAUAUUAUAAGAUAUGGGCCAAAAUACACAUAAGUGGGCUUUUUAGCUUGAAGCCCACACAAGUGGUUCUAUAAAUAGAAUCCUUGUGCAAAAGCAUUAAUAGCCACACUUGUUGUUAAAUGCAUCAACAGUUCCAUUGUUUCCACCAUCGUACCCACCAAAGAUGUUGCUGAAAAAACCAGUCAUCUUAUGAUAUACGAUAUGAUCUCUGUGAAUAUAUAUAAAUAGUUGAAAUGCUUAGGUUUGUGUUGAUGUUUGUUCCUAACUAAGCCAAACAUUAUAUAGAUGCAUAAAGUUACUGUGUUA